UGACAUCUCAGAUUCUCUUUGGGAACGCC
rnacentral:piRNA from 1 species